GAUGAACGCUGGCGGCGUGCCUAAUACAUGCAAGUCGAGCGAACAGAUGAGGAGCUUGCUCCUCUGACGUUAGCGGCGGGCGGGAGAGUAACACGUGGAUAACAUACCUAUAAGACUGGGAUAACUUAGAGAAACCGGAGCUAAUACCGGAUGAUAUAUUGAACCGCAUGGUUCAAUAGUGAAAGACGGUUUUGCUGUCACUUAUAGAUGGAUCCGAGCCGCACUAGCUAGUUGGUAAGGUAACGGCUUACCAAGGCAACGAUGCGUAGCCGACCAGAGAGAGUGACAGGCGACACUGCAAGUGGGUCACGGUCCAGACUCCUACGGGGGGCAGCAGUAGGGAAUCUCGCGAAAUGGGAGAAAGCAUGACGGAGCAACGCCGCGUGGGUGAUGAAGGUCUUCGGAUCGUAAAACUCUGUUAUUAGGGAAGAACAAAUGUGUAAGUCACUAUGCACGUCUUGACGGUACCUAAUCAGAAAGCCACGGCUAACUACGUG
rnacentral:rRNA from 1 species